AUUGAACGCUGGCGGCAGGCCUAACACAUGCAAGUCGAGCGGGGUAGCAAUACCCUAGCGGCGGACGGGUGAGGAAUGCAUCGGAACGUGCCGAGUAGUGGGGGAUAACGCAGGGAAACUUGCGCUAAUACCGCAUACGCCCCGAGGGGGAAAGUGGGGACCGCAAGGCCUCACGCUAUUUGAGCGGCCGAUGCCCGAUUAGCUAGUUGGUGAGGUAAAGGCUCACCAAGGCGACGAUCGGUAGCUGGUCUGAGAGGAUGAUCAGCUACACUGGGACUGAGACACGGCCCAGACUCCUACGGGAGGCAGCAGUGGGGAAUAUUGGACAAUGGGGCAACCCUGAUCCAGCGACGCCGCGUGUGUGAAGAAGGCCUGCGGGUUGUAAAGCACUUUUAGUGGGGAUGAAAAGCACCGGGCUAAUACCCAGGUGUCUUGACCUAAACCCAAGAAAAGCACCGGCUAACUCUGUGCCA
rnacentral:rRNA from 1 species